AUGCCCGCAAGGGAAUGCCUGAUCGCGUGCCUUUUGCUUAAUGAGCCUGCGAGUUAUCCUGCGUAGCAAGGUUAAGGCGGAAAGCCGGAGCCGUAGCGAAAGCGAGUCCGAAUUGGGCAUUUAGUUGCGUAGGAUAGACCCGAAGCGAAGUGAUCUACCCAUGGCCAAGGUGAAUCCGCCGUAACAGGCGGAGGAGGCCUGAACUGAUGUUUGUUGCAAAAAGCUCGGAUGAGCUGUGGGUAGGGGUGAAAGGCUAAACAAACUUCGUAAUUGCUGGUUCUCCCCGAAAUGUCUAGAGGGACAGCCUCGUGUCAGCCGUAACGGAGGUAGAGCACUGAAUGGGCUAGGGGCGUUCCAACGCUACUGAACCCAAUCAAACUCCGAAUGCCGUUACUGGACGCACGGGAGUGAGACUACGAGUGCUAAGAUCCGUGGUCGAGAGGGAAAUAGCCCAGACCGUCAGCUAAGGUCCCUAAGCGCAAGCUAAGUGGGAAAGGUUGUAACGUCGCUCAGACAGCCAGGAGGUUGGCUUAGAAGCAGCCAUCCUUUAAAGAGUGCGUAAUAGCUCACUGGUCGAGCGAUGGUGCGCCGAAAAUUUAACGGGGCUCAAGUUUGCCACCGAAGCUACGGACUUUUCUCGCAAGAGAUGAGUGGUAGGGGAGCAUUCUCUGUGCAGUGAAGGUUGACCGACAAGGACAGCUGGAGCGCAGAGAAGAGAUUAUGCAGGCAUAAGUAGCGAUAAUUGAUGUGAGAAUCAUCAACCCCGUAAACCUAAGGUUUCCUGGCCUAUGUUCGUCAGGUCAGGGUGAGUCGGAUCCUAAGCCGAGGCCGAUAGGCGUAGGCGAUGGUAAACAGGUCAAUAUUCCUGUACCACAGUGAUGGCGUUAUCAGCGAAGGGGGGGUGCAGAAGGGUAGGCACCGCCGGGUCCCUGGAAUACCCGGUCUAAGCGNNNNNNAAACGGGCUGAUCCCAUGCUGCCGAGAAAAGCCUCGUAGCGAGUCAUCAUUGUGUCCGUACCGCAAACCGACACAGGUAGGUAGGUGGAAUACACCAAGGGGCGUGAGAGAACACUUCCUAAGGAACUUUGCAAUUUAGCCCCGUAACUUCGGGAGAAGGGGUGCCACGCGUAGGUGAAUCUGUACAAGGUAAGCCGAACGUGGUUGCAAUAAAGUGGCUCUAGCGACUGUUUACCAAAAACACAGGACUCUGCGAACACGCAAGUGGACGUAUAGGGUCUGACGCCUGCCCGGUGCUGGAAGGUUAACCGGAGGAGUUAGCCGCAAGGCGACGCUUUGAAGGGAAGCCCCAGUAAACGGCGGCCGUANNUCCUAAGGUAGCGAAAUUCCUUGUCGGGUAAGUUCCGACCUGCAUGAAUGGCGUAACGACUGGAGCGCUGUCUCGGGAAGUGACUCAGCGAAUUUGUUGUUCCGGUGAAGAAGCCGGGUGCCCGCAACUAGACGGAAAGACCCUGUGCACCUUUACUACAACUUGACAUUGGAUGUUGGAAAGAGCUGUGUAGGAUAGGUGGGAGCCUGCGAAGCGUGGCCGCUAGGUCGCGUGGAGGCGUCCUUGAAAUACCACC
rnacentral:rRNA from 1 species